AUAAGGUUAAGUUAGGUUAGACUGGGUGUUUUCAAAACAGUUAGGGGCUGAAUAGGUCAUCUUAUG
rnacentral:tRNA from 1 species